CACAGUGUAGCAAUACAUGGGUGGCGACCGGCAAACGGGUGCGGAACACGUACGCAACCUUCCUUCAGGCGGGGAAUAGCCCAGAGAAAUUUGGAUUAAUACCCCAUAAUAUUUUGAGAUGGCAUCAUCUUAUUAUUAAAGCUACGGCACCUGGAGAUGGGCGUGCGGCUGAUUAGGUAGUUGGCGGGGUAAUGGCCCACCAAGCCUACGAUCAGUAGCUGAUGUGAGAGCAUGAUCAGCCACACGGGCACUGAGACACGGGCCCGACUCCUACGGGAGGCAGCAGUAAGGAAUAUUGGUCAAUGGACGCAAGUCUGAACCAGCCAUGCCGCGUGGAGGAUGAAGGUCCUCUGGAUUGUAAACUUCUUUUAUCUGGGACGAAAAAAGGGUUUUCUAACUCGUCUGACGGUACCAGAUGAAUAAGCACCGGCUAACUCCGUGCCAGCAGCCGCGGUAAUACGGAGGGUGCAAGCGUUAUCCGGAUUCACUGGGUUUAAAGGGUGCGUAGGCGGGCAUUUAAGUCAGUGGUGAAAUACCUGAGCUUAACUUGGGAACUGCCAUUGAUACUAUUUGUCUUGAAUGUCGUGGAGGUUAGCGGAAUAUGUCAUGUAGCGGUGAAAUGCUUAGAUAUGACAUAGAACACCUAUUGCGAAGGCAGCUAACUACGCGAAUAUUGACGCUGAGGCACGAAAGCGUGGGGAUCAAACAGGAUUAGAUACCCUGGUAGUCCACGCCCUAAACGAUGAUUACUCGACACUAGCGAUACACUGUUAGUGUCUGAGCG
rnacentral:rRNA from 1 species